CGGUACGCGAGCUGGGUUCAGAACGUCGUGAGACAGUUCGGUCCCUAUCCAUCGCAGGCGUUGGAGAUUUGACGGGAGCUGACCCUAGUACGAGAGGACCGGGUUGGACGAACCUCUAGUGCAUCUGUUGUCACACCAGUGGCAUGGCAGAGUAGCUACGUUCGGUCGGGAUAACCGCUGAAAGCAUAUAAGUGGGAAGCCCACCUGAAGAUAAGAUCUCCCUGAAGAGUCCAGGCAGACGACCUGGUUGAUAGGUCACAGGUGUAAGUUCAGUAAUGGAUUCAGCCAAGUGAUACUAAUCGCUCGAUCGGCUUGACCAUAUUACA
rnacentral:rRNA from 1 species